AAACUUAGGAUAAUGCCAAACCAAAG
rnacentral:tRNA from 1 species